rnacentral:rRNA from 1 species
CAUAGCGACUAUCGUGGCAUAUCAAUAAGCGGAGGAAAAGAAACUAACAAGGAUUCCCUUAGUAACGGCGAGUGAAGCGGGAAGAGCUCAAAUUUGAAAUCUUCAAGGUUCUACCUUGACGAAUUGUAGUUUAUAGAAGUGUUUUCUGUUAGUAGAGUGGCAAAAGUUCUUUGGAAUAGGACAUCAUAGAGGGUGAGAAUCCCGUAUUUGGUCAUUCUUUCUAGCUUUGUGAUACACUUUCAACGAGUCGGAUUGUUUGGGAAUGCAGUCCAAAAUGGGUGGUAAAUUUCAUCUAAAGCUAAAUAUUGGCGAGAGACCGAUAGCGAACAAGUACCGUGAGGGAAAGAUGAAAAGAACUUUGAAAAGAGAGUUAAACAGUACGUGAAAUUGUCAAAAGGGAAGCGUUUGACACCAGUGUUGUUUUUCCGAAAAUCAAUUACGAAUGUUUUGUUUUUGAGGAGUUAUGACUUCAUCGGCUUGCUUCCUUUCUUUACGAAACUUUCUUAAUGCACUUUUCGGUUAACAAGUCAACAUCAAUUUCUUUUGUUGUAAAAGGGUAUGAGGAAGGUGGCUUUCUUUUCGGAGAAAGUGUUUAUAGCCUUGUACCUCUGCAAUCGGAGAGAUUGAGGUCUGCAGCGUAGAUCCUUCGGGGUUAGAUACAUUUGUGCUAAGUUAUAGCUUUUCAUAGGCAACUUGUUGACUAUGUUAAGUCUUGUAGCUUACUCGCUUAUGCUAUUUUACCUACGCUUAGGAUGUUGAUAUGCAUGACUGAUAU